rnacentral:rRNA from 1 species
UGGGCAACCUGCCCUCAGCUCUGGGAUAACUCCGGGAAACCGGGGCUAAUACCGGAUACGACCUUCCCUCGCAUGGGGGUUGGUGGAAAGUUCUUCGGCUGAGGAUGGGCCCGCGGCCUAUCAGCUUGUUGGUGGGGUGAUGGCCUACCAAGGCGACGACGGGGUAGCCGGCCUGAGAGGGCGACCGGCCACACUGGGACUGAGACACGGCCCAGACUCCUACGGGAGCA